AAAUAAAAACAUGGCUUCAUUUUCAUUUCUUCAUAUUUCAAGAACAUUACCUUGUUUGAACUUUCCAAACUUUUCUUCCAAUAUCCUAAUACAUGCUCCCAAAAAGGUCCAAAAGGAGACACUCCUCGACAAAAACACUCAAAAGCCUCUUCUAAUGGAAGUGUGCCAUUCCUUUUUGAUCUAACAUUGCUUAUGAAAUGCCAAAAUGAAACAAAAACAUCUUUAGGAUCUCUACAUAGAUACAACACUUUGCAAGUUGAGUCUUUCACAGAUUUUGGUAAUGAUUCAUAAGAUAGAUGAGUGGAGAAUAUUCUUGGAGGAGAUAUUGUUUUGAGAUCAGGAACAAAAUCUUUGUUGAAAUAAAGGUCUAACUCCCAAAAGGGAACAAGUUCGUGUGGAUUUUUUGUGAGCAAUGGAUGAUUGCUAUGAAUAUUUGGAUAUUUGUUGCGGUUUAUCAAAUCAAAAGACAAUGCUUUGAGCCAAGUGGUACCUGAUUUAGGAGAAGUGACUAAGAGAAUAUCAGUAUCAAGGGCUUGAAAGUGCUUUUGACAAGAUAUAACAGCUUGAAGAAACUCUGGAGCAAACCAAAAUCCUUGAUAUUGAUGUAAAUGGAUUCCAUUCCAACAUUUUUCCGAUGGCAAUGUGGUUAACAAUUCCUCACAUUCUUCGCCUAAGUCAUAUUCUUGCAUGUAUUUUGGUACAAGAGUUUUUUCACUUAAUUUUUCCAUGGUGAAUAGUAUAACUCAGGUGAUAAUAUUGUGGGUUGAAAUCAAGAUACAAUUGUUUAUAUAUAUAUAUAUAUAUAUAUAUAUAUAUAUAUAUAUAUAUAUAUAGAGAGAGAGAGAGAGAGAGAGUUUAUAAUUUUAUUUUAUAAAAAAAUUAUUUAAUUAAUUUUUAUUUAUUUAAUAUAAAAUAUAUUUUAUUUGUGUUGUAAGAUUUGUUGNCUUCUUGAGAAAAUGGACACUCCAAAAACUUAGCAAUUUCUUUCAAAUAAAAAUAUGGCUUCAUUUUCAUUUCUUCAUAUUUCAAGAACAUUACCUUGUUUGAACUUUCCAAGCUUUUCUUCCAAUAUCCUAAUACAUGCUCCCAAAAAGGUCCAAAAGGACACACUCCUCGACAAAAACACUCAAAAGCCUCUUCUAAUGGAAGUGUUCCAUUCCUUUUUGAUCUAACAUUGCUUAUGAAAUGCCAAAAUGAAACAAAAACAUCUUUAGGAUCUCUACAUAGAUACAAAACUUUGCAAGUUGAGUCUUUCACAGAUUUUGGUAAUGAUUCAUAAGAUAGAUGAGUGGAGAAUAUUCUUGGAGAAGAUAUUGUUUUGAGAUCAGGAACAAAAUCUUUGUUGCAGUAAAGGUCUACCUCCCAAAAGGGAACAAGUUCGUGUGGAUUUUUUGUGAGCAAAGGAUGAUUGCUAUGAAUAUUUGGAUAUUUGUUGCGGUUUAUCAAAGCAAAAGACAAUGCUUUGAGCCAAGUGGUACCUGCUUUAGGAGAAGUGACUAAGAGAAUAUCAGUAUCAAAGGCUUGAAAGUGCUUUUGACAAGAUAUAACAGCUUGAAGAAACUCUGGAGCAAACCAAAAUCCUUGAUAUUGAUGUAAAUGGAUUCCAUUCCAACAUUUUUCCGAUGGCAAUGUGGUUAACAAUUCCUCACAUUCUUCGUCUAAGUCAUAUUCUUGCAUGUAUUUUGGUACAAGAGUUUUUUCACUUAAUUUUUCCAUGGUGAAUAGUAUAACUCAGGUGAUAAUAUUGUGGGUUGAAAUCAAGAUACAAUUGUUUAUAUAUAUAUAUAUAUAUAUAUAUAUAUAUAUAUAUAUAUAUAUAUAUAUAGAGAGAGAGAGAGAGAGAGAGUUUAAAAUGGUAUUUUAUAAAAAAAUUAUUUAAUUAAUUUUUAUUUAUUGCAUAUAAAAAGAUCAUCUUUUGUGUUGUAAGAUUUGUUGUAUUGUAAUUUUUGUAUGCUGGUGAAGGUAAACAAUAAAAAAGGUAUAUAAAGGGGAAAAUAUAAUUUGUUUGAGAAAGUUUGUUUCUCCUCCCACCGUGAAUUUGCACAAGGGAGGAUAAAAAACUAAAAAAAAUAAAUGAAAAAAGAAAGAUUAAAAUAAACUUUUUUUAACAAUUAUAUUUUAAUAAAAAAUAUAUAUAGAACUUUUGCAUGCUAAUUAUUGGUCAUAAUACUAAGAAGACUCAAACUUAAAUAAGUAUAUGAAAAUGUCCUGUAGAGAACUUGAAUUCUGCCAAGAAUAUCCUUGACAUGAGAAUUAUUCAUUAAAAUAAAAAUGAUAAAUCUUUCAAUUUUUUCAAUUUAAAUUCUUAAAUAAUCAAUAUUUUAAAUUAUUUAUCAAAAUAAUCAUGUUUUAAAUUAAAAAUAAUUAUAUCAAAGAGAAUGUGUCAUUGAUAAUGGCGCACGCACUAAAAAAAUACAUUUAGGCGUCGUAGCCCCUAACACAUGUACUACCAAUGUCUCAAUAAGACUGACACAUGCACUAUUGACUUAAGGAGAGGUGUCCCACUCCUCCAAGACAUCUACAUGCAUAUCCUCGAUGUAGUCAGUACACACGAAUCAUUAGUUAGGGCGUUGCAAAAAUGAAAUAAAAAUGACACAUAAAUAUUAAAAAACCAAUAAACAUUACUGUCAAUAGUGUGAUGUUGUCUAUGACCUGCUUCGUCUUCCACCUAUGACCCUCUAAUAACUUCGAUUACAAGUAAACCAAACAAGUGGCCCCCUAAUUGUACUCAUGGAUCCGCUCGAAGUACCGUAGGUAGACAACAUCUGUAUAAGGGACACUCUUUUCCAAAAAAAAAAGUUAUGCCAACCAAAUAUAACAGGUAUGCUCUCAUAGCGUACGCUCUAUGGAGCCCUACCUGAUUGUCAUCACAUCUAGCCUCCUCAACUCUAAGGAUCUCAAUAUAUAUGGUGUUCCCGUCUAAGGGUGAUGUCGCCUGGGCGGAAUCCCCACAGAACUAGAGGGCUCACCCUAUAGAUUGAUGACAUGUAUAGAUACCGUUAUCUCCAAGAGGGGAAUGAGUUCCCCACAAUUCCCUGAAGAAUAAGUAGUCUACAAUUCUCCCUAGUUGUAAGGGAGCGGUUCCCCAGGUGAGCAGGUACUCUAAAUCAUCACAAAACACCAUCGUACAUGAUUUCUCGUCUCCGUGGGUAAGUCUUAACCAUUAUACAACUUAAUAUAUCUACAAAGACCUCUGAGUUCUCAUGUCCUUUCAGAAGAAACAUGCACACACAUACAAAAAAAAUUAAUUCAUUUUAAAUUCCUUUAAAUAAUUAUUUUCUCUAAUUAAAAUGUUUCAUUAAAAUAAACUCUUACUUUAUAUUAAAUUUUCUCUUCUGUUUUGACUUGUGUAUUAUGACGAUAUUUUUGAUGUCGUUGGUGCCCCAAAGGGCAAAUAAUGGUUCUGCGAACAUGUACAAUACUAGAGAAAUAAAUGAGUGGGCAAUAACAUGUUUGUUUUUAAUGAAUAAGUAAGUGGCAAUAACAUGUUUUUUUUAAUGAAUAAGUAAGUGGCCAUAGCAUGUUUGGGAUCAGACAACAACUGCCUUUUAUAGUACAUGUUUGGGACUUUCUGAUAAUCGGUAAUAACUAGCAUGUGCCAUUAGGGCCCACAUUACUAGACCAAUAUAAUUGUUUACAGGACAAUAAUUGGUAAUCAAUUUUUUUUUUCACUUUUGAAGAAGUUGUUACUUUUACCUACACUAGCAGGUAAUUAGUUCAUUAUAAAAUAAAAAUAUUAUUAAAUAUAAUUUAUUCAGUUUUUCUUUUUAAUAACAAAUCCAGAAAAUUUUCAAAUGUUUUUUCUCUUCUUCAUACAUUCAACGUCCAAAAUCUAAAAAUCUUGUAUCCUAAUAUACUUAAUAUUUUUCUUUGUUAACUCUCAAUCUCAUAAAUCAGAAUUAUCACCAUGCUUUCAAUUUCACAUGGAUGUCUUGUGUUUUCAAAAAUAAGUUUCAUAAAUCUUGAUAAACAAAUAUAGGAUAGGAUGAUGUUGCAAAUAUAAUUAUUUUUUUCCUCUUCAUCCAAUUUUUACAAAUCAUAUAAAAAAAUAGUUUACUUUUGAGAAAUACUCAUACCUUAAAUUUUGAAAUUUGAUAUAUAAAUCUAAAUUUUUAGAUCUGAGUUUUUAAAAAUCUCAUAUGCACAAAGAUCCAACAGACAUGCAUGCAUUUUGUAAUUUCAGAUCUAUAAAUUAAUUUGUUUUUAAUUUUAGAUAUGUAAAACUGUUAACAUUUGAUAAGGUUUUUUUAAUUUCAAAUCUGUAAUAUUUAGAAAGAUGAUAAUUUUUUCAAUGAAUUUAGGGUUGAAAUUCAUAUGUGUUUUCAAUUUCAGAUAUGUUACGAAAAAUAUAGAUGAAAUUUUCGUGGCCGAAAUAAUUCAUUUUUAAUGAAUUUAGAGAUUAUUUUCAUAUUCGAAACAUAUAUAUAUAUAUAUAUAUAAAUGAAAAGAUGAUUGGAAUCAGUGGAUUCACCACCACCUUGUGCCUUAUGCGAUAAUAUCACACUGUCUCAUAAGAGAAAGUUGUUUUCUUGGAGAUUGAUUGAAAGCUUCGAUGCAAACAUGUUACUCGAGAUGGAGUGCACCAUUGUUGAUGCAGAAACACGUGAAGAUCUUACCACAUAUUAUGUAUCUUCCAUGUUUCUCUCUUGAAUCGCCAUGAAAGCUUAUCUAAAGCUUAGAUUGAGGAACGAAUAUGCACAGAUUGAACAACUUCUCUAAAACUUGAAAUUGAUACCCGAUACACCACACCCACGAGUGCACUGUAGCACGCUGAUGCAGAAGUGUGGAUCAAGGAAGAAGAUGAUUGAAUAGUGCGGAAGAACGAUCCGUUAGGCGACUUAUAUUAUAUUAAAGAUUGAAAUCAUCUUGAAUUUUCCAUUGAACUUUGUUCAUCAUUCUUGUUUUUUAAUAAAGCUUGCAUGAAGUAUAUAUAUCGUCCAUGCAAGUGUUGAGGUUGUUACACUUUAGAAGUUAGUUAGAGUUCAUAAAUAACUCUCAAACUUUUCUCACUCAUACUUAGGGCUGGACAAACACCCGCAACCCAACCCAACCCGCAAAAACCGAAAAAAAAGAAGGAAUUGGGCGGGUUCAAACGGCCCAACGGGUUCACCGGGUGAUGAAACCGGGUUCAAUCGGAUUUAAAUGGACGGGCCCGGGUAGUAAAGACUGGACCGCGAGUACCCUGACCCGCCCAAAUGACACACAACCACAAAAUUUUAAUGUGCAUGAGUAGUACAUUAAACUAUGUCGUUUUGUACUACUCCCUCAACCCUCCUCUCUCAUUCACUCUCGCUGACGCUCAGUAUUUCUCUCACGGUGACGACGAGAAACCCUAGCAGCUCCUCUCCACUCACCGCUCAUCGUCACUCAUCGCCACCACAACUCCACCCAAAAGAACAUCGCCCCACCACCAUUAACUCCACCUCGACGAACACCACCACCACCACUCUCAUCUCUUUUUUUCACUGACUUUCACGACGAGCAACAACAUUUGAACUUGUGGUCUGAUCUUCUUUCUUCUAUUGUUUGACUUUCGUUGCAAGGUUUGUGAAUUUUAUUCAAUUUCAGAGUUUUUUACUUUUAGGUUUUUCUAUUUAGGUUUUUUCUACUAUUGUUCUACUUUCAAAUUUCAAAUAAUUUAAACUAUUGUUUUGUGACACUGAUGUGUUUAUUUGGGUAUAUGGAGCAUGGAAACAGUAGCAGUCAAAGAACUCAAAGAACCAUAGAGCAAGAUCCACUAAAUAAGAUUAUUCAACUUGUUUUAUAUGUGUUGAAAUUUAUAAGUUUCCUAAAACCAUGUACUUAUCUCAUUGAUGGCAACAAUAUGUAUUACCUAAUGAUGUUAUUGAUGUUAUUGAUAUUUGAUUUGGAUAGAUGGAUCAACGGUCAAAAGAGCACGGAAAGAGUCUUAGAGCAAGAACAAUGCAAUUGUAAGUGUAUUUGAGCUUCGUGCUUUGAAAUGUAUGCUAAUUGGGACUAUGGUUGUAUGCAUAUGAAUGUGGGCUGAAUUUGAUAGUUUUUAACUAGAUUUCAAAUUUAUUUAAAACCAAUUAGUUGAUGCGUUAGUGUAUGAGAUUGUUUGAAAUGUAUGUUAAUUGGGUUUGUUUGUAUGUGUUGUAUGCAUAUGAAUUGGGACUGUUUUAAACUGAUUCUCAAAGUGUAGAUGAACAAGCCAGUAGAUUGGAUGAAGUUGUACGCAUAUGAAUUGCCACACUUGUCAUUUUCACCACUGGUAGUGACAUAUUGAAUUGCAUUAAAAAUUGAGUUUUCAUAUCAUGUAAUCUGUAGCAUUCAUCACAUUAAUGCCCCGAAGUUGCUGCCAGACAUUGUAACAAAUUGACUAAAUGAAAAUUGAGAAGAAAUAAACUCACCAAUACAAUUAUGCGAUGGUUAGCUUAUUUAGUGUUAUUUUUGUUUCUCUUCAUUUUCUUUUUGUUUCUAGGGUGUCUUGUUAUAUGAUCCUUUCUAAUUAUGAACCGCUAUUUGCCAGCACUAUAACAUUGCUAUAACUGCUAUUUGUCAGCACCGUGGUAAACCAAUGAUCGGUACAUUGCUAUAACUGAUAUUUGCCAGCACUAUAACAUUGCUAUAACUGCUAUAACAUUUUAAAAUAACUGCUAUAACUGCUAUAACAUUGCUAUAACUGUUAUUUGCCAGCACUGGGGCUGGAACUGCUAUUUGCCAGCACUGUGCUAUAACUUAUAUAUCUUGCCAGCACUGUGCUAUAACUUAUAUAUCUUGCCAGAUCUUGGUAUGAUCUGUUCUGUUAAAAAAUUACUAACUUUUAUGCAUCUUGCCAGCACUGCUAUGUAUAAUGUGCUAUAACUUAUAUAUCUUGCCAGAUCUUGGUAUGAUCUGUUAUGUUAAAAAAUUACUAACUUUUAUGCAUCUUGCCAACACUGCUAUGUAUACUGUGCUAUAACUUAUAUAUCUUGCCAGAUCUUGGUAUGAUCUGUUCUGUUAAAAAAUUACUAACUUUUAUGCAUCUUGCCAGCACUGCUAUGUAUACAUUGUCAUCGUUCAAUGAAUGGAUUUUAUAAACUUUAUUCAUAACCUUGUCCAGCCCUAGCCAACACUGUGUUAUAACUGCUAUUUACCAGCACUGUGCUAUAACUGCUAUUGCUAUAACAUUGCUAUAACUGCUAUUUUCCAGCACUGUGCUAUUACUGAUAUUUGCCAACACUACUAUUAUUAUCUCUGUUUUAUGAAUUGGAACCGUUAUUUGUUGAUUGGUAGUUCUUGAUUGGCUCCUUCGUUAUUUCAGUGACUGGUGAGCCUAAUCAAAAUCUACCAUAAUUACUUCAUCCAAGUCGAUACGUUGCUAUAAAGAAGAGGAAAUCUAGUGCAAGUGGUUCUAGGCAAACAUCUGCUUGCUGGGAACAUUUUAUUAGAUUACCCGAUGACCUAGUUGAUGCACCCAUUGCAGCCUGCAAACACUGCCAUAAAAAAACACUUGUGUGACCCUAGGACUCACGGCACCACUAAUUUGAACCACCAUAUUUUAAAAUGUUCUAAGAAGCCCUUUGCCGUGUCAAUUGACUCCACACAAACUAUUCUAACAUAGCCAAGUGUAGAUGGUAAAUUGGUUCAAGUUAGCUCUAGAUUUGACAAGAAAGCUUGUAGAAGUGCUUUGUCAGUUUUUGUAGUUCUAGAUGAGCAACCAUUUAGUGCAGUAGAGGGUGAAGGGUUUAAAUUUUAUUCCAAAGUAAUGCAGCCCCAAUUUACCAUUCCAUCUAGGUGUACGAUAGCUAGGGACUAUUUUCAGCUAUACUUGGAUGAAAAACAAAAGUUAAAGGCCUUUUUUAAGUCUGAUUGCAAUAGGGUAGCACUUACUACUGAUUGCUGGACUUCUAUACAAAAUCUCAACUACUUGACCUUUACGGAACACUUUGUGGAUAAUGAAUGGAAGUAUCAAAAAAGAAUUAUAAGCUUUACCAUAAUUCCAAACCACAAAGGUGAAACUGUAGGUAGGAAGAUUGAAGAAGUGUUAAGGGAUUGGGGAAUUAGGAAUGUGUCAACCAUAACUGUUGAUAAUGCCACUUCAAAUGAUGUUGCUGUGACCAUAAUAAACGAAGAAAAAUAACAAAUAUGAAUGGGUUAAUGGGGAUGGAGAGUGUUUCAAUAUGAGGUGUUCAGCUCACAUUUGAACUUGUGUAAAUGAGGUUUGAAGAUAAACAUUUAUCUGUAACUAGUGUUAGAGAUUUGUUAGAUUUGUUAAGUCUCACCUCAUAGGGAGCCAGUUUAAAGAAUGCAUUGAAUUUGCUGGAAUAACUUGCAAAAAUUAGUAUGUCUUGAUGUUUCAACUCGUUGGAACGCGACAUAUUUAAUGCUAGAGGUUGCGGAGAAGUUUCAACUCGCUUUUGAAAAGCUGGGAUGAAGAGUCGAGCUAUAGGGAGUUCUUUGGAAAAGUAAUCCCCUAGUAAUGAUGAUUGGACAUUGCUAGGGCUUAUACGCUUUCUAAAGUAUUCUAUGAAGCAACUAAGACUUUUUCACUCUCGUGAGUUUGUAUACUUGUUUCUCAACAAGUGUCUGCCAUUAUUGUGAGUAAAGCAAUACUUGAACUUAAAUGAUAUUUGGCAAGUGUGGGUGGAGAUAUGAUGGGAAAAAUAUAAUAGAUAUUGGGGAGUCCUGAUAAGAUGAACAAGAUGAUAUAUUUUGGUAUUAUUCUUGAUCCAAGAUACAAGUUAAGUUACAUUGAGUGGCGUUUAAGGACAUGUAUGGAGUUGGAUCAAGUUGGUAGUGACUGGUAAUAAUCUAUAAAAGAGAAUUUACAAAGUUGUAUGAUUGGUAUAAAGCAAGCUUAUGACAAGAAUAUAAUUCCAUACAGCCUCUUGUAGUGGUGGAAAUAAUGUCUCCAAUGAUGAACAAAUGCAUCUGCUGCCGUUCAUCACUUAUGGCUAGAGCUGAUGCUUUUGAGCAACAUUAGAGAGCAAGACCGAUUGAUCAACAAAUGAGCUUGAGGUGUAUAAUCUAGUAAGGUGUCAAAGGGAUACUUUGACAUCCUUGUGUGGUGGAAACGUAAUUCAAUCGAUAUCCUAUUUUAUCUACAAUGGCUAAAGAUAUUUAGCCACACAGUGUCUACGUUGCUUCUGAAGUGCUUUUAGCACAGGAGGGAAGUCAUAGAAACUACUAGAGUUCUCUAACUGCUGAAAUGACGAGACUUUAAUUUGCACCCAGAAUUGGUUAAGGCUUCUUUUACCUAUUUCAAAGAUAUGAAUCUCAUGGAAGAUUUUGAGCUUUCAGAAAUAUUGUAACAAGUAAAUUUAUACUGAAUUUCUAAUAAAUAUGAUGAAUGUUGUAUAAUUAUGCUUAUAAAAAGUUUAUUUAAUUAUUUAGAGUUUCAACAAAUGUCUUAGCAGCAAACGAGUAUCAGGUGUCUAUCAUCACAGUCUCAGCCACAACCUUCUGGUUGUGCUUGAAAUGGAUGUAUGUAUAUCAUUAUUUAUCUUAUACUUUAUUAUAUUUUUGUUAACUAAUGUUUAUGUUGUCCAAUUUUCCAGGUCAACUAUUUUUUUGAUUUUUGGAGUCAUGCAUGAUCUAUUAUAUAUAUAUUACUAUAUUAUAUAUAUAUAUAUAUAUAUAUAUAUAUAUAUAUAUAUAUAUAUAUAUAUAUAUAUAUAUAUAUAUAUAUAUAAUAUAUAUAUAUAUAAUAUAUAUAUAUAUAUAUAAUAUAUAUAUAUUAUAUAUAAAUAUAUAUAAUAUAUAUAUAUAUAUAUAUAUAUAUAUAUAUAUAUAAAAUAUAUAUUAUAUAUAUAUUAUUAUCAUAUCACUACUCAAUGGCCGAAUGAAGAAAAUAGCUAGGCUACUCUUGGAUUUUUUGGAGUCAUGCAUGACCUAUAUAUAUGAGCCUGUGAAAGUUACCAAUGCCUAUUGGUUGGUUGCCAUGGAGCCUGUGAAAGUUUCUACAAGUUUUAUUUUGCUUUUUAUUUAGGUCUCAUGAGUAUUUCACUGUCGUCUUGUUUUCAAACUGAUUAAGUCUCGUUAGUCUCGUUGUAUCUUUAUCUAAUCUAUUGAAUUGAGCAAGACAUGGAUUUCACUGUGGUGAUUAAUCGAUGUAGUAUUUCUGUGUUUGAUUAAAGUCUUAUGACAUUGAGCUUUUUUCGUUUUAGAUAAUGUGAUGCUGUUUACGGCGUUUGUUUAUCGACUUUGAUGUUCUUAGUUUAACAUUUUUGUGUGUGUUCGUUUUGACCGUGCAGAGGAGUGCUGCUGAUUCAAUUUUACGGAUUUGCAAGAGAAUCCUGAUAGUGGCUUCAAGUUAUGCAUAUCUUGCAGAAUACUCAAAUCUCACACUACAGUUCUUUGCAUUGCAGGUUGGUUGUUAAUGAAUUCCUCUGGAGUUAAUGUUAGGAGGGGUGGAUCGCAAUUUUUCAAAAUAAAAUAUGGAUUUUGAUUUAUGAUUUCCUGCAUUGUUAUGAUUCCUGCACUGUUAUGAAUCAGCUUUUGGAGAAGUUGUUUCUUUUACUUACACUAGCAUGUAAUUAGUUCAUGAUAAAUAAAAUAUUAUUAAUAUAAUUUAUUAGUUUUCUAUUUUUAAUAACAAAUCCAGGAACAUUUUUCAAGUGUUUUUUCUCUUCUUCAUACAUUUAACAUCCAAAACCCAAAAAUCUUGUAUCCAUGUUAUAUUUAUUAUUUUUCUUUGUUAAUUUUCAAUUUCAUAAAUCAAAAUUAUCCCCAUCCUUUCAAUUUCACAUGGAUGUCUUGUGUUUUCAAAAAUAAGUUUCAUAAAUUUUGAUAGACAAACAUAUGAUCUUGCAAAUACACAUUAUUUUUUUCCUCUUCAUCCAACUUUUACAAAAUCAGAUAAAAAAUAGUUUAUUUUUGAGAAAUACUCAUACCUUAAAUUUUGAAAUUUGAUAUUUAUAAAUCUAAACUUUUAAAUCUGAGUUUUUAAAAAUCUCAUAUGCAUAAAAAUCCAACACACGUGCAGGCAUUUUGUAACUUUCAGAUUAGAGAAUAACAUUGAAAUUUGAGUUUUUUAAAUAUGAUUUAAUAAUUUAAUAAGAGAUAUAAGUUUGGAAUCUAGAUUUAAUAAUUUCCUUUGUUAUUCAAUGUAAUUUAGACGAAGAAGAUGAAAAGGGCGAACUUUUUAAAGAUGAAUAUUUGAAAAUGAAGAAGAUGAAAAAGAUGAAUGUUUGAAGAUGAAUAAGAUGAUUUCGAAAUGAACAUCAAUUAAAAAUAUAUUAUUUAAUUAAAAAACAUUAAAUAAUUAAUAUUUAAAAUUGAAUAAAAAAUUAUUAAUAUAUUACCAAUCAUUCAUCACAACAGACUAAAUUAAAUAAUAAUAUAUCAAUUACUAAAAAAAUGCAACUUCUCCGUAAUUGCCAAAAAUUGCAGGGCACAAGUUAAAUGCCAUCAUCUAUAAUCUAUUCAUAGUAUGACUUUUAAUAUCAUACUAUUACUUUUCAUAUGUCAUGUUAGUGCGAGUAAUAUCAUAUUACUCUAUCUCUGUCAAAUUAUUUUGUCAAAAAAAAUUAUCCUAAUUAUAAAUUCCUUUAGAUUUUCAAUCUAAUAUUAAUGACAUUUUAUCUAAUAUACUCUUAAAAUAUUUAUUAUUAUUUAUUUUUUCAAUUCUUUUAAUUUUUCUCUCCUCUCUAAUUCCGAGGGACAAUACUGUAAAGUUCUACAUGACUUGAUUUUUUAAUAAAAUAAUAAUUAAAUUUCUUAAUUCGUAUGAAAUGUCUAAAAGAUAGACUAAGUUUCUAAAGUGUAGAGUUUGUUACACUUUAGAAAUUUGUUAGAGUUUUUAACUAAUUCUCCAUCUUUUCUCACUCAUACAUAUUUAUACACUAAGCUAUGUAAUAGUACUCCAUUAACUUUUAAAAAAAAUCAAAUUAAAAAAUAUAUAGAUAAAACUGCAUUAAAUGCAUAAUAAAAAAUUAUAUUUAAUAAUAUUAAGUAAUUAUAAAAUUCAAAGAUUUCAUAAAAAUAAGAGAUUGAUUUUAUAAGCUAAAUUUUAUUGAUGGAUAGCAAUGUAGCACAAGAUCUCUUCUGCAAAUCAUUCCCUAAAUUAACACACAAUUAAACAGUUAUAAAGAAAAACUAUUAUGAAAACAAAGUAACACAACACAUGAAGAAAAAUCAAUUAGCAUCAACAAAACAAUCCUUGUAACAGACAAAACAAACAUACCAUAUAUAAAAAUUGAAACAAAUUUAUUCUUACACUUCUGAAGCAAUAUGACAAGAAGUUUAUGUGAUUAUGCAUAAAUUUAUCCGCAUAUGUCCGCAUAUGUCUGUCAGGGCAAAAUUAUGCAUAAUUUCUUAAAUUCUAAAAACUCAAUCCAUGGUUAGCCAACUUCUGUUUUGUGAUGGAGUUUAUAUGCUCAAUCAUUUCGGUUGUAAGAUGAUUCUUCCAAUCUCCAAUUUGACCAAGACGGAAAAAAUAUUUGUUUUCAACGUUAAAAGACACUUUUUCAGUCUUGUUAACUUCCAAGUUACUCAACUUAUCAAAACUACACAAAUUUAAAAUACCAUCAACCACACCUUUGGAUUCUUCUUCUUGAGAAAAUGGACACUCCAAAAACUUAGCAAUUUCUUUCAAAUAAAAAUAUGGCUUCAUUUUCAUUUCUUCAUAUUUCAAGAACAUUACCUUGUUUGAACUUUCCAAGCUUUUCUUCCAAUAUCCUAAUACAUGCUCCCAAAAAGGUCCAAAAGGACACACUCCUCGACAAAAACACUCAAAAGCCUCUUCUAAUGGAAGUGUUCCAUUCCUUUUUGAUCUAACAUUGCUUAUGAAAUGCCAAAAUGAAACAAAAACAUCUUUAGGAUCUCUACAUAGAUACAAAACUUUGCAAGUUGAGUCUUUCACAGAUUUUGGUAAUGAUUCAUAAGAUAGAUGAGUGGAGAAUAUUCUUGGAGAAGAUAUUGUUUUGAGAUCAGGAACAAAAUCUUUGUUGCAGUAAAGGUCUACCUCCCAAAAGGGAACAAGUUCGUGUGGAUUUUUUGUGAGCAAAGGAUGAUUGCUAUGAAUAUUUGGAUAUUUGUUGCGGUUUAUCAAAGCAAAAGACAAUGCUUUGAGCCAAGUGGUACCUGCUUUAGGAGAAGUGACUAAGAGAAUAUCAGUAUCAAAGGCUUGAAAGUGCUUUUGACAAGAUAUAACAGCUUGAAGAAACUCUGGAGCAAACCAAAAUCCUUGAUAUUGAUGUAAAUGGAUUCCAUUCCAACAUUUUUCCGAUGGCAAUGUGGUUAACAAUUCCUCACAUUCUUCGUCUAAGUCAUAUUCUUGCAUGUAUUUUGGUACAAGAGUUUUUUCACUUAAUUUUUCCAUGGUGAAUAGUAUAACUCAGGUGAUAAUAUUGUGGGUUGAAAUCAAGAUACAAUUG
rnacentral:lncRNA from 1 species